GAUGAACGCUGGCGGCGUGCCUAAUACAUGCAAGUCGAGCGAACAGAUGAGGAGCUUGCUCCUCUGACGUUAGCGGCGGACGGGUGAGUAACACGUGGAUAACCUACCUAUAAGACUGGGAUAACUUCGGGAAACCGGAGCUAAUACCGGAUAAUAUAUUGAACCGCAUGGUUCAAUAGUGAAAGACGGUUUUGCUGUCACUUAUAGUUGGAUCCGCGCCGCAUUAGCUAGUUGGUAAGGUAACGGCUUACCAAGGCAACGAUGCGUAGCCGACCUGAGAGGGUGAUCGGCCACACUGGAACUGAGACACGGUCCAGACCCCUACGGGAGGCAGCAGUAGGGAAUCUUCCGCAAUGGGCGAAAGCCUGACGGAGCAACGCCGCGUGAGUGAUGAAGGUCUUCGGAUCGUAAAACUCUGUUAUUGGGGAAGAACAAAUGUGUAAGUAACUAUGCACGUCUUGACGGUACCUAAUCAGAAAGCCACGGCUAACUACGUG
rnacentral:rRNA from 1 species